rnacentral:rRNA from 1 species
GUGGGGAAUAUUGGACAAUGGGCGCAAGCCUGAUCCAGCAAUGCCGCGUGCAGGAAGAAGGCCUUCGGGUUGUAAACUGCUUUUGUACGGAACGAAACGGUCCUGGUUAAUACCUGGGGCUAAUGACGGUACCGUAAGAAUAAGCACCGGCUAACUACGUGCCAGCAGCCGCGGUAAUACGUAGGGUGCGAGCGUUAAUCGGAAUUACUGGGCGUAAAGCGUGCGCAGGCGGUGCUGUAAGACAGGCGUGAAAUCCCCGGGCUCAACCUGGGAAUUGCGCUUGUGACUGCAGUGCUGGAGUACGGCAGAGGGGGAUGGAAUUCCGCGUGUAGCAGUGAAAUGCGUAGAUAUGCGGAGGAACACCGAUGGCGAAGGCAGUCCCCUGGGCCUGUACUGACGCUCAUGCACGAAAGCGUGGGGAGCAAACAGGAUUAGAAACCCGUGUAGUCC